rnacentral:rRNA from 1 species
CUACGGGUGGCACCAGUGGGGAAUAUUGGACAAUGGGGGAAACCCUGAUCCAGCAAUGCCGCGUGUGUGAAGAAGGCCUGCGGGUUGUAAAGCACUUUCGGUUGGGAGGACUGCUUCUAGCACUAAUAUUGUUGGAAGUUGACGUUACCUUCAGAAGAAGCACCGGCUAACUCCGUGCCAGCAGCCGCGGUAAUACGGAGGGUGCAAGCGUGAAUCGGAAUUACUGGGCGUAAAGCGCGCGUAGGCGGCUAGAUCAGUCGGGUGUGAAAGCCCCGGGCUUAACCUGGGAACUGCAUCCGAUACUGUCUAGCUUGAGUACAGGAGAGGAGAGUGGAAUUCCGCAUGUAGCGGUGAAAUGCGUAGAUAUGUGGAGGAACACCAAUGGCGAAGGCAGCUCUCUGGCCUGAUACUGACGCUGAGGUGCGAAAGCGUGGGGAGCAAACAGGAUUAGAUACCCGUGUAGUC